UCAUCCCUUCAUCAGGUUACUCUGCCCAGUCUACCACAGUCAUCCCUUCAUCAGGUUACUCUGCCCAGUCUACCACAGUCAUCCCUUCAUCAGGUUACUCUGCCCAGUCAUCCCUUCAUCAGGUUACUCUGCCCAGUCAUCCCUUCA